rnacentral:tRNA from 1 species
GCCGAAAUAGCUCAGUUGGGAGAGUGUUGGACUGAAGAUCUAAAUGUCCCUUCUUCGAUCCCGGGUUUUGGCA